GACGAACGCUGGCGGUGUGCCUAACACAUGCAAGUCGAACGGAAAGGCCCUGCUUUUGUGGGGUGCUCGAGUGGCGAACGGGUGAGUAACACGUGAGUAACCUGCCCUUGACUUUGGGAUAACUUCAGGAAACUGGGGUUACUACCGGAUAGGAGCUCCUGCUGCAUGGUGGGGGUGGGAAAGUUUCGGCGGUUGGGGAUGGACUCGCGGCUGACCAGCUUGUUGGUGGGGGAGUGGCUUACCAAGCCUUUGACGGGUAGCCGGCCUGAGAGGGGGACCGGGCACAAGAGGACUGAGAUACGGCCCAGAGUCGUACGGGAGACAGCAGUGGGGAGUAUGGCACAAUCAGCGGAAGCCUGAUGCAGCAACGCCGCGUGCGGGAUGACGGCCUGCGGGUUGUAAACCGCAUUCGCCUGUGACGAAGCGUGAGUGACGGUAAUGGAUGAAGAAGCACCGGCUAACUACGUG
rnacentral:rRNA from 1 species